GACCAUGUGGCCUAAUGGACAAAGCGUCUGCCUUCGGAUCAGAAGAUUGAGGGUUCAAAUCCCUUCAUGGUUG
rfam:Oryzias latipes DNA, scaffold797, strain: Hd-rR.